AGUACCCUUCUAAGAAGAGGAAGAGACCAGAGCUCUCUCUCUCUCUCUCUCCCUCUUUCUGCUGUGAGGACACCGCAAACAGGAGGCUAUCUGCAAGCCAGGAAGAGAGCCAUCAUCAGGAGCUCAACCAUGCUGGCAUCCCGAUCUCAGACUUUCAGGACUAUGAGAAAACCACUUCCUGUUGUUGAAGCCAUCUAGCCUAUGCUGUUUUGUUAUGGUGAUGGCAGCUGACAAGAUAGACGUGUAUAUAUAUGCCAAGCUUUAAAGGUCAAGAGACUGCACAUUUCAUAGAAACAUUUUUCACUAUAUGUUAUUUUCUUCUUGAUGUGGAUAUUAACGAGCAUAACCAAAUACAUGCCGCUACCAAGGAUCACUUCUCAUAAUUUUGUCGAAGAGACACACAUAUAAACUAACUUUGUGUUUGAGCAUAAGCCUCAUGAAGGGCUUCCUGUCUUGCUUUGUUUGCUGCUGUUUCUCCAGAGCCUACAGCAGGGCUUGGCACAUAGAAGGAACUUGGUAAAAAUUUACUGAAUAAAGGAAAACACAUGGAGAAUGCCUUUCCCCCUCCUCUACUGUUGCAAGAGGAAGAAGUUUUACUCUUUAAAAGCCACCCCUGGAAAUCCUUGCUUUCUUCUCCUGAAACCAGGUCUCCCCGGUGGGCCCAAUGUGCCCGGUGCUAAGAUGCAGAAGCAGGGUAACCACAAGACUCUCUACUCAUGACUCUUUGAACACAGGAAGGUGAAACAAAGCAGCGGCUUACACUAACUGAGGAUCUCUCGUUGCCCACCGCUGUGAUCUGCACGUUGCCCAGAUGGAGGAUGGCUGCUAGGAUCUUAAAAACAUCCAUCUGAAAAUCUUCCUUGAAACCUGAAAAAAAAUUUCCAAAUUAGGGUUACUGCAUUUCUUCUCUUACUUCACACUAGUAAGAUAAGCACCUGAAUUCUUUCAAGACACUCUAGUGCCAUCAGUGCCAAGAUCUGGACUUGAAAUGACACAGACGUGAAUUCUGCAGCCCUCUGGGUUUCCCCUUUUGGCAUUGCUGCUAGAAGUUCAACACAAAAAGUAAUAUGCAAGUAACCACUUCAUGUCAGUUUCCUGAGAGAAUCAGCUCUCAUUUAUUCGACGUGAUAUGCUUCCUUUA